AUGCGAAAACUUCACCAGAGCCACAACUUGCCAUGGCUCUUGGUGGGUGAUCUGAACGAAAUUCAAUUUCUCCAUGAGAAGGAGGGAGGUAACCCUCGACCUAUGCAGUAUAUGCAGGCUUUCCAAGAAACAGUUGAGGAUUAUGAGCUACAUGAUCUUGGCUUCCUCGAAGACCCUUUUACUUGGCGUAGUGGGAGGAUACGGGAAAGAUUGGACAGAGAGUUGGUGAAUGAUGCAUGGGCGGGUUUGUUCCCUCAUGCGACACUGCAGAACUUGGAGUUUAACCACUCCGAUCAUAGACCACUAUUGGUGGAUACAGAUUAUUAUGCACAACCAGCCGCUAGCCCGAAUAAUGUACAAGUUAAACGAUUCAAAGCGCAGUGGUUAAGAGAGCAAAACUUCAAUGAAAUAGCAAUGCGAAGGAAAUAUGCCCUAGAGGCAAUAAUAAAGUUGUUAUUUAUAUUUCCUUAUAUCAUGAUAAAUGUUUAUUAUUCAUGCUAG
rnacentral:rRNA from 1 species